GUCUAGAUGGGUCAUAUAGAUUAAUCGCCAGGCAUAGGUGAAAAACUAGCAGCAGGUAAAACAAGGGAUAAAGAAAUAAUAAGAAACGGGUGCCACAGUAAGGUAGAGCGCUAUGGGUCUAGACCAGUGGGUUCAACCCACGCCCAUCAUACAAUGGAUACUGCCCCGGCAAUAGAGAAGACUCAUAUCCUGCAUAUCCGUAUCCCACCAGCUCCAAGCCCCAGGAGUGUCCAUGUGACUGUCCUGAUCAGGGUUGCAGUCAAGGAAGGUGGAGAUUCACAAAAGGACCAAGCAUUUGGCACAUAAGCACUUUCCGCGGUAUCCACUUAUGCCUCACCGCUUUUAGGAUUGCAUGGAAGUUUCAAC